CGAGGGGAGUGAAAAAGAACCUGAAACCGUGUACGUACAAGCAGUGGGAGCACCCUUCGGGGUGUGACUGCGUACCUUUUGUAUAAUGGGUCAGCGACUUAUAUUCUGUAGCAAGGUUAACCGUAUAGGGGAGCCGGAGGGAAACCGAGUCUUAACCGGGCGUUAAGUUGCAGGGUAUAGACCCGAAACCCGGUGAUCUAGCCAUGGGCAGGUUGAAGGUUGGGUAACACUAACUGGAGGACCGAACCGACUAAUGUUGAAAAAUUAGCGGAUGACCUGUGGCUGGGGGUGAAAGGCCAAUCAAACCGGGAGAUAGCUGGUUCUCCCCGAAAGCUAUUUAGGUAGCGCCUCGUGAAUUCAUCUCCGGGGGUAGAGCACUGUUUCGGCUAGGGGGCCAUCCCGGCUUACCAACCCGAUGCAAACUGCGAAUACCGGAGAAUGUUAUCACGGGAGACACACGGCGGGUGCUAACGUCCGUCGUGAAGAGGGAAACAACCCAGACCGCCAGCUAAGGUCCCAAAGUCAUGGUUAAGUGGGAAACGAUGUGGGAAGGCCCAGACAGCCAGGAUGUUGGCUUAGAAGCAGCCAUCAUUUAAAGAAAGCGUAAUAGCUCACUGGUCGAGUCGGCCUGCGCGGAAGAUGUAACGGGGCUAAACCAUGCACCGAAGCUGCGGCAGCGAACGUAUCACCCAAGACAACUUUACGGAGUUGACGAUUGACGGAGCGAAGCGACGUCAAAGCGUUCAUUAAAGUCGAGUUGGCUUAGGGAUACGUUCGUUGGGUAGGGGAGCGUUCUGUAAGCCUGUGAAGGUGUGUCGUGAGGCAUGCUGGAGGUAUCAGAAGUGCGAAUGCUGACAUAAGUAACGAUAAAGCGGGUGAAAAGCCCGCUCGCCGGAAGACCAAGGGUUCCUGUCCAACGUUAAUCGGGGCAGGGUGAGUCGACCCCUAAGGCGAGGCCGAAAGGCGUAGUCGAUGGGAAACGGGUUAAUAUUCCCGUACUUGGUGUUACUGCGAAGGGGGGACGGAGAAGGCUAUGUUGGCCGGGCGACGGUUGUCCCGGUUUAAGCGUGUAGGUGUGUGUUCCAGGUAAAUCCGGUU
rnacentral:rRNA from 1 species